ensembl:lncRNA
CGCGCGAGCCUUGCGCGCCCCAGCGCUGUUGGCGCCACCGCGCCAAACCCGGACGCGGCCCCGGAACCUCCAGGGGGCGGGAGCGGGGGCGAGGGUGGGGGCGGCGACCUGGGGCCGCGUCCUCCCGCCCCCGCCGCGUCCCCUGCAUCCCCAGACGCCCGAGUUCCCGCGGCUCAGCAGGACGCGGGAGGACGGUGCGCUGGAGAGGACCUGUGUUCUGCGCUGCCUCUUAUGAUCUAAGCUGUCCAGCCCCCUCCAGUGGUGCUAGAACUGCUUUCUCUUCAAGGAAGAAGAGAAGCCAGAAGUCCCUGAAUCUUGCAGCUUGGCCAUCGAUUUUCUGACUAAUUUGGAGAUGGACGUGUUUUUGGAAGAGUAUUUGGAAAACCUUUUGGGGUGAAAAGAAGUUCCUCCGUGGCCUCUGCUCGCUGAGUAACCGAGCUCAGUGAUGCAUGAACACUGCUCUGGAAUUUGAAAGUUGGCUGCUCUGGGGCCAGGUGACCUUGAACAGAUACAGUGGGCACCUGUAGAAAGGGUCUGAGGGGUCUGUUGGCUCUGUGCAGACUUUAAAUUUUCAGACUGAGCAGUGGCCUGGGCUCUGGGGAUGAGGGCUGGGAAGGCGCAAAGCUCCUAAAAAUGCUCGCAAAGUGUGUGCGUGCGCACAGGUGUGUUGCACAAAAGCUGUGGUGUCUUCCAUUUUUCCAGAACCCCAGGGAGUGGCAGAGACCAAGCUGGUAAGGGCUGGGAGCCAGCACUGCCUCAGCCCCAUGCCAGGCGCCCCAGGAGGGGAUGGAGGUCAGCCCUGAUUAGCCUGGCAGCUGCUGACCCCUUCGGCCUCCCCUCUGGCUCCUCUCUGGCUCCCAGAAGCAGAUCCUAAUAUAAGUGACUGCAUUUUACAAUUUAAAAAGUAUUGUAUGAUACACAGCAAAACUAGGGAAUUGGGAUAUGUAAGGUGGAGGAGAUCUGGAGGUCUCCCAGGCAAAUCCUGGAAUGUGAAUGUUGGAUGGGAAGAAACUGCUUCCUGUGCUCCCACUGCUAAGAGCUCCCCCUUCCUCGCUCUUGGUGCCAGGAAGGGGGCGAGGGCACCCCCUCCACCACCACAGCACUGCUACCUCCCGGCCAGGCUGGGGCCGAGCAGGACAGCACACUUAGCCUUCCAGAAAAAUUCAAAAGUGCUAGGACACAGCCUGGUGUUUUCCAAGCCAUUGCAUUUUAAAUGUUUUAUUUAUUUAUGUAUUUAUUUUACUGGGCAUUGAAUCCAGGGCCUUUGCAUUGAGCUAUAUAUCCUCAGCCCCCCUUUUCUUUUUUCUUUUUUUUUUUUUUAAUUUUGAGACAGAGUCUUGAUAAGUUGCCCAGGCUGGGCUCCAACUUUCGAUCCUUCUACCUCAGCUUCCCAGGGUGCUGGGAUGACAAGCAUGCACCACCACGCCAGGAUCAUGUCAUUUUUCAUCUGUUUUUAAAAGAACACCUCCAGCAGGGCUUCGGCAUUGUUUUCUGGGGGGCGGGUGGGGCUGGCUGUGCAGGGCUGCACCUGUGAGUCUGUGGGACACCAGCCCCCCUCCUGCAUGUCAGGCCCACCGAGGGUCUCACACUGGAAGCUGUGGUGUUCGGUGGCUGAAUAACUUCGACAUGGUUUCUAUGCCUUUGUUCCCCCACCCAAAAGAGCCCUGUGCAGGUCCCUGAGGUGGACCAAAAAAAAAAAAAAAAAGCAAAAGCAGCAGUCAAUAACUCUGCUCCCAGUUAUUUCAAAUUCAAGGCUUUGAAAAAUGAUCUUUUAAGUUUUGCUUUACAGUAGCAAAUCCAGAUUCCACAAAAUGUCCAGAGCAGAAAAGAACUACAUCGAGGAAAGUUGAGGCCCAGGCAGCGGUUGGUUUCAUUUGGAUUUGGGGUUUGUUUUUUGGGGUUUUUUUUGGUACUGGGGAUUGAACUCGGGCCCUUGCGCUUGCAAGGCAGGCGGCAGAACCGCUGAGCUAAAUCCCCGGCCCUGGAUUUUGUGUCCUUUAAGAAGCCAGGCAGGAGCAGGUUUGGGCACCCGCUCAGAGGCCGAUUUGGACACCACUCUAUGCCCAGCCUGACGUUGUCACUUCCCCUGCCACCACGCAUUGCGGCCCUUCGGGUGUCCCCUGCAGGAGAUCAGCCAGCUUGGUCCCCGAGUCCUCCAGUCUUAUCUCCUGUCCCCCUCCUCAGGCACUUGGCAACAAACAGGCCAGGCCGGCCAGCAGGGCAAAGGUCUGGCAGCUGGAGGGGAAAAAAACCAAUCAGACAAAAAACCCGCAUUCAGCGGAAAGGUGCAAAAAUGGAGGUCCCAGGCUGUGGCUGGGGGAGCUGUGGCUGUGACUCACGAGCUCCUCUGGGGCUGGGAGCCUUGGAGGCCCCGGGCGUGCUCAGGACCCUGGGAGGCUAGGCUCAGGACAGGACCCUCAUCAUUGCCAGAGGCCAGAGGCGCAGGCCCUGGGCGUCCCAGCUGCUUCUCCCCACGCGGACAAAGUUCGUGCAAGCUGCUUCUUGGGCUGGUAAAUUUGCUUUCCUUUUCUUUUAACCUGGCCCCCACCCAGGGCCGUCUUUCUUUUCCAGCCAGGAGGGGAUGUAAACCGUUUGAAGUUCAUCAACACGGUGAAGUUUUAUUGGAUUUCCGGUCCCCAAGAUUUAUACCCAAGAGGGGGAGUGGGCGGCCAGGCAGACUCCCUCCUUACCUCGGGGUUUCCCUGCCGGACACGUGGCCGCUCAGACUGUCGCCUCUGGGACAAGGCAGGAGGGGGCCAGGGUGACCUGGAUGGACUGGCUCGAGCAAUGCACCUGGUAACUGGUAACGGCGGAGUCGCGGUCCCCACUCCCUCAGGUGAGGUGCUGUCUGUGGAGCUCGGGUAUGUGGUGUCUGCACACGGUGAGGCACGGGGGGGUGGGGGGACACGGGUGGCAGGGGAGAGGGCCCAGUCUGUAGGGCAGGAGGAGGAAGAAGCGCACAUGUGCCCUGGGUCCCGGUCCCAGUGCUCUUGUCACCUGGGGCAGCUCCUCAGGUCUGUGCCGCCGCCGCCGAGCCCCAGACCUUUCUGCAGCCUGAUUUCUGUCCAUCCAAGUCACUCUGCUGCCCCCUCCGAAUCCCCCUUUUCCCUCUGCUCCCCAGGGGCCCCGGUACUUACUGACACCCCUUUUCCAUCUCUUUGUUGCUUUCUUUCUCCGCACCACGUCUCCCCACUCCCCUGGCUACAGCCCAGUCUUAGAGCUGGGGACCUUGAAGGGCUGGAAGAUUUGACCUCUCAGAGCCUCCUGGGUGGCCAGUGACCCCGAGCACAGGGACUGGCCAGGUGGCUGGCGCCCGUGGGUGUACCUUUGUAACGGGGCGAAGCUGUGAGUCCUUUCAUCUGCGGAGAGUCCCCACUUCAGUGACAGAUGCCAACCAGGUAUCUCCAAGCGGCCCUGCCUGAGCUGGAGUUGGUUAGAAAAACAGAAGUUUCUGGAAUCUGAGUCGCCAGGGCCAGCGCUGAGCCCCUUUCACCUACAGUCCUGGGUCCAGUUCUUCAGACGAGUUGUUUACUGGCAGCUGGGUCUGUGGGAAAUAAGUGAAGCAGAAGAAGUAAGUUCAGCGGUGUGUGGAUGUUACAAAAAUAUACCUACAAGCUUUGGGGCCAUGGAUCUUCUUAAUCUGAGCAGAAUCGUUCAUCUCUGUGUUCAUCUCACAGAGGUUACAGGCAUAUCCACUUAUGCAAGACGAGACCUCCUCUUCGAAUGGAGUGCCCCCAUACACGGAGGGUUAGCGCUGGGCUCAGAUCUGUUUCUCACAUAUUCUACACAGUGCAGAGCUCAGCACAUUUGCACCCAGGGUCCCGCUACACUGGGAUUUAAAGUAGACAUACAGGACAUAUUUAUCUGUGGAAAUACAGAAUGCAUCCAUUUUAGUUUAGCUUAAUAAUUUGAAAAACAAACUCUCUUUCCUUUUACUCCUGUCUUGUUUUGCUGUUUUCUUCUCUUCCAUCACCCCCUAAAUUUUCUCUCUUUUUUCCUGACAAGGACCCUGAUCCAGUCUCCCCCUCAAAGCGUCCCACUCACCGGCUGAUUCGGGCCAGGAUCCACCUCUGCUCUGCAAACCCUGGCCCCUUCCUCUGCUGCCCUGGACCCCAGCGUGGCCAGGGGCUGCUGCUUUUUCCUGUGCAGUCUUCCCAGGCCACUGGCCCCAGCUGUGUUCAGGCUCCGGUGCAGGACUGGCGCUGGUCUGGCGGGAGGCUGUGAGGUAGGGCAGGGUCCUCCUUUCUCUGUAGGGCUAGGGGUGGGGUACACAGCAGUUCUGCCCUCUCAGGACCAAGCGACUCCCGUGGAGGUGACCCCUCUAGUAGAUAUCUUUAGACAGACGAUGGGCUCCACCAUCCUGUUUGCUCCCUUCUUUCAUGGUGGGUACCAUUAUCUGGGGAGAAAAUAAUGUUUGGAGGGUCCCAGGUUCUCAGAGCUUCUAGGCCAGGGGCGCCCUCUCAGUGGCCCUUUUAAUCAUUUCCCUGAGCUGGAGUUGAACUCCAGCCUGGGCCAGCACUGCUUUCUAGAAAGGCUUGGGGUGGGGGCUUGUUCCCUGGCCCAGCCGCUGCACCACCCAGGAGGUGAGGUGGGGUGCAGACCCCAGGGCUGGGGGGCAAGUUCAUUCUGUCCCCUCUAAUCAUCUCUGGGAGAAGCCUCAGACCUCCAUAACCUGUCAUCUUCAAAUUGUUCCUAUUCUCCGCUUCUUUGUGACGCAAAGACUAAGCCCGGGUCUCAGAAAAAAGGCCUGUGUCCCCUCCCUCACAGGUACCCGGGAGCCACUGGGAACUGGGGACAAUUCUCCAGGCAGUUAGAAACCCACAGAGCUGAACCAGGCCUGCCUGCCGGAACAGCUUCCGCCUUAAGCUUAAAUGUCUGUCUUUCUCUAACUUCUUCCUAAAUUAGGCUGCCUCAAAGCCAGGACAGGGCAGGGAAAGCAGGAGGGUGGCAGUCAGAGCCUGGUGCCUGUACAGCUCGGCUCUUAAGGACAGCCCAGCGCCGUGACUUUUCCAUAAAUAAAAGGCCCAGCCCCACCGUUCCCAUGUCCUUUUGGGCCCUAAUUUAUAAGCUACAGAAAAUCAUAUACUCAGCCGCCAUGCUUCGUAACACCAUUAUUUAUGGCAGGGGAGGAGACUUCUUUUUUUUUUUUUUUUUGCCCGAAGAGGAUAUUUAUUACAGGUAAAGCCCACGGCACACUCCACACGUCUGACAAAUCGAGAACAGGUGCUUUGCCCUAACUUCGAUCCAUUCGCUCCAGACCCAGUUUUCUCGCUGGCGAGUCUGGGGAGCUCCCUGACUUCCCCAAGCCCCCAGAUGCUACUUAAAAGAAUUUCCAUUGGAUUUUGGUUUCUCCCCGCUUGGUCCUACGGAAAAAGCAGACCUUCACGCUGUUUGGUUCCAGAUCUGCGGGCCCAUCGCCCUCGGAGAGAGCUUGGGUUAGGAGGGGGCCAGCUGGGCGCCAGCAUUGAUCUUUAAAAAAUCAUUUUGAAAUCGCC